rnacentral:rRNA from 1 species
GGUUAAGUUAAUAAGGGCGCACGGUGGAUGCCUUGGCACUAGGAGCCGAAGAAGGACGGCACUAACACCGAUAUGCCUCGGGGAGCUGUAAGUGAGCUGUGAUCCGGGGAUUUCCGAAUGGGGAAACCCACUGUUCGUAAUGGAGCAGUAUCCAUGUGUGAAUACAUAGCACAUGAGAAGGCAGACUCAGGGAACUGAAACAUCUAAGUACCUGAAGGAAGAGAAAGCAAAUGCGAUUCCCCAAGUAGCGGCGAGCGAAACGGGAUCAGCCCAAACCAGAAGGCUUGCCUUCUGGGGUUGUAGGACACUCUAUACGGAGUUACAAAGGAACGGAUUAAGCGAAGCGACCUGGAACGGUCCGCAAGAUAGGGUAAUAGCCCCGUAGCUGAAAGUUCGUUCCCUCCAGAGUGGAUCCUGAGUACGGCGGAACACGAGAAAUUCCGUCGGAAUCCGGGAGGACCAUCUCCCAAGGCUAAAUACUCCCUAGUGACCGAUAGUGAACCAGUACCGUGAGGGAAAGGUGAAAAGCACCCCGGAAGGGGAGUGAAAUAGAUCCUGAAACCGUGUGCCUACAAGUAGUUAGAGCCCGUUAAUGGGUGAUAGCGUGCCUUUUGUAGAAUGAACCGGCGAGUUACGAUUGCAUGCAAGGUUAAGGUGAGAAGCCGGAGCCGCAGCGAAAGCGAGUCUGAAUAGGGCGAGUGAGUAUGUAGUUGUAGACCCGAAACCAGGUGAUCUACCCAUGUCCAGGGUGAAGGUAAGGUAACACUUACUGGAGGCCCGAACCCACGCACGUUGAAAAGUGCGGGGAUGAGGUGUGGGUAGCGGAGAAAUUCCAAUCGAACCUGGAGAUAGCUGGUUCUCUCCGAAAUAGCUUUAGGGCUAGCCUCAAGAUAGAGAAUCCUGGAGGUAGAGCACUGUUUGGACUAGGGGCCCAUCCCGGGUUACCGAAUUCAGACAAACUCCGAAUGCCAGUGAUUUAUGCUUGGGAGUCAGACUGCGAGUGAUAAGAUCCGUAGUCAAGAGGGAAACAGCCCAGACCACCAGCUAAGGUCCCCAAAUAUCCGUUAAGUGGAAAAGGAUGUGGCGUUGCUUAGACAACCAGGAUGUUGGCUUAGAAGCAGCCAUCAUUUAAAGAGUGCGUAAUAGCUCACUGGUCGAGUGACACUGCGCCGAAAAUGUACCGGGGCUAAACGGAUUACCGAAGCUGUGGAUGGACAUCGUAGAUGUCCGUGGUAGGAGAGCGUUCUAAGGGCGUUGAAGUCAGACCGGAAGGACUGGUGGAGCGCUUAGAAGUGAGAAUGCCGGUAUGAGUAACGAAAGACGGGUGAGAAUCCCGUCCACCGAAUGCCUAAGGUUUCCUGAGGAAGGCUCGUCCGCUCAGGGUUAGUCGGGACCUAAGUCGAGGCCGAUAGGCGUAGACGAUGGACAACAGGUUGAUAUUCCUGUACCACCUCCCCGCCGUUUGAGCAAUGGGGGGACGCAGAAGGAUAGGGUGAGCGUGCCGUUGGUUGUGCACGUCCAAGUUGUGAGAUGAGAAACGAGGCAAAUCCCGUUUCUAGAUACAUCAAGCAGUGAUGGCAAGAGGUUUACCUCAGAGUCCCUGAUUUCACACUGCCAAGAAAAGCCUCUAGCGAGGCGGGAGGUGCCCGUACCGCAAACCGACACAGGUAGGCGAGAAGAGAAUUCUAAGGUGAGCGAGUGAACUCUCGUUAAGGAACUCGGCAAAAUGACCCCGUAACUUCGGGAGAAGGGGUGCUCUGGUAGGGUGAAUAGCCCGAGAGAGCCGCAGUGAAUAGGCCCAGGCGACUGUUUAGCAAAAACACAGGUCUCUGCAAAACCGUAAGGUGACGUAUAGGGGCUGACGCCUGCCCGGUGCUGGAAGGUUAAGGGGAGUGCUUAGCGCAAGCGAAGGUGCGAACCGAAGCCCCAGUAAACGGCGGCCGUAACUAUAACGGUCCUAAGGUAGCGAAAUUCCUUGUCGGGUAAGUUCCGACCCG